ACGCUCGACACCUACGGGGGCAGCAGUGGGGAAUAUUGCACAAUGGGGGAAACCCGUGAUGCAGCGACGCCGCGUGGAGGAAGAAGGUCUUCGGAUUGUAAACUCCUGUUGUUGGGGAAAAAGAGGAUGGUACCCAACAAGGAAGUGACGGCUAACUACGUGCUAGCAGCCGCGGUAAUCUGAGCGGGCUGGCAAGGC
rnacentral:rRNA from 1 species